rnacentral:rRNA from 1 species
CCUACGGGAGGCAGCAGUGGGGAAUAUUGGACAAUGGGCGAAAGCCUGAUCCAGCAAUGCCGCGUGAGUGAUGAAGGCCUUAGGGUUGUAAAGCUCUUUUACCCGGGAUGAUAAUGACAGUACCGGGAGAAUAAGCUCCGGCUAACUCCGUGCCAGCAGCCGCGGUAAUACGGAGGGAGCUAGCGUUAUUCGGAAUUACUGGGCGUAAAGCGUACGUAGGCGGCUUUGCAAGUUAGAGGUGAAAGCCUGGAGCUCAACUCCAGAACUGCCUUUAAAACUGCAUCGCUUGAAUCCAGGAGAGGUGAGUGGAAUUCCGAGUGUAGAGGUGAAAUUCGUAGAUAUUCGGAAGAACACCAGUGGCGAAGGCGGCUCACUGGACUGGUAUUGACGCUGAGGUACGAAAGCGUGGGGAGCAAACAGGAUUAGAUACCCUGGUAGUCCACGCCGUAAACGAUGAUAACUAGCUGUCGAGGACGACUUAGUGUCGUUUGGUUGGUCGGCGAGCGUAACCGACUAUUAAGUUACGUCCGCCGUGGGUAGGUACGGCCGCGAACGUUAAACGUACAAUAGAGUUAGACGGCGUGAGACGUGCCGACGGACGACGACGAGGGAGGUAGG